rnacentral:lncRNA from 1 species
CCCAGCUGCCCCCCUUACCUUUUUUUUUUUUAAAUCCUUACCUUAUGUCUUAGAAUCAAUAUGGUAUAUUGGUUCCAAGACAGAAAUGUAGUAAGGUCUAGGCAAUGAGGGUUAAGUGACUUGCCAGGGUCACACAGCUAGGAAAUGUUUAAGGACAAAUUUGAACCCAGGACCUCCCAUCUCUAGGCCUGGCUCUCUAUCCACUGAACCAUUUAGCCACCCUAUCCUUAUCUUUCUUAUUUCUGCUGGCCCUAGGCCUUUGGACUCUGGUUUCCUACUUUGACCUAUUUUCUCUCUAUGAUGAAGUGAGCUCAUAGAUAAGCCUCUUUGAAUUGUGAAAUAUGCUGGACCCUUCUCUCUCCCUCCCUGCUUCUCACUUUAGUUAGACUACUAAUCCUGAUGUUUCCCAUUUAUCUCUGUACUAUUUCAGUGUGUCUCACAGCUGUCUGGGACCUGAUCCAGUUUUCUUACUAUACAAGGAUAGCCACCUAUCCUUAACCCACCCUUUCAUCCAUCCGUCCAUCCAUCCAUCCAUCUAUCCAUCCAUCCAUCCAUCCAUCCAUCCAUCCAUCCAUCCAUCCAUCCAUCCAUCUAUCCAUUCAUCCAGACAUGUUUUGGCUGCUAAUUGAACCAAGACUCUGUUCUUAUCAAGGAUCUUCUUCUUACCUUAGAAUCUGACCUGACAUCCAUGUUUCUUGAAAGAGGAGACAUAUGGCAGAUAUGUACACAAUGACAUAUGUCUACAUGGAGAGAAUAUUGAAUUUGGAAUUAGGAGACACAUUUUAGCCCUGGCUCCAAUAUUUAAAUCCUGUGUAACCUUGGAGUCAUCCAAGACCAGUGGAAACACAGAUGUCAGAAUGACUGAUGAUGGCCAGGGAUGCACUGAGUGACCAUGACAUCAUUGAUAUCUGAUCAAGCUUUAGACACUCCACAGUGCCUGCUUCAACCACCUUCAUGGCCCUUGGAACAAAUUGUUCUCAUUCUCCCAUUCCACGGGAAGAAGUCUUCAUAUGCUUGGGGAUAGACAUCCUUCCUAGCUCAGCAAUGGGUUUGAGGUCUAUCAGUUACCCUCUACCUGCUUUAGCCCACUUGCUGAGAUGGUUUACUGGGGCGUUGCCACUGCACAUGCUACAGCUUCUUGGAGCUGCAGGGAAGUGAGAGGAAAUGAACCAGACAGAAGAGAGCUAUAAAUAACAGUCGGCUUCACAGGGCCCUGUGCAGACCCAGCGACAUUCUUUAAAAACCAUUGGGCGCAUACACGCACACAGGGAAUCGGGCCACAGACUUGGCUUGGCUUCUGCUCAGCUCUGGAGCAGACCCUUCUCCAGACUCUAGGUUGCCUGAGGAAAGUGAUCGACUGCUAGUGAUUUAGUGGAGGACUCCCAAGAAAGAGGUCCAGCGUCAUGUGGAUUUCAUCCUUCCAGCCUCAGGCUGGCCCAAUAGCUCCUGACCCAGAGCCUAGGAAAUACCAUAAUUGCUGCAGGGGUAUUCCAUUCCCACAGUCCCGGGGUGAAGGGAGAGUGGGAUUUAGAGCAGGGCAUAGAUGUGCUAAGAUUUUUUCUUAGCUAAAUAAGAUUGGGCAAAGGUCCCCCGAUAUGACCUUAUUUAUUGUUCUGUCUGUGUUUAGAGAUAGAAGGAUAUCAUCUGUAUUCUGUAGAUAAGAAAACUGAG